rnacentral:rRNA from 1 species
GACCAGACUCCUACGGGAGGCAGCAGUGGGGAAUAUUGCACAAUGGGGGAAACCCUGAUGCAGCAACGCCGCGUGAGUGAAGAAGUAUUUCGGUAUGUAAAGCUCUAUCAGCAGGGAAGAGAAUGACGGUACCUGACUAAGAAGCCCCGGCUAACUACGUGCCAGCAGCCGCGGUAAUACGUAGGGGGCGAGCGUUAUCCGGAUUUACUGGGUGUAAAGGGAGCGUAGACGGUUCUGCAAGUCUGAAGUGAAAGCCCGUGGCUUAACCGCGGAACGGCUUUGGAAACUGUUUUGCUGGAGUAUGGGAGGGGUAAGCGGAAUUCCUGGUGUAGCGGUGAAAUGCGUAGAUAUCAGGAGGAACACCGGUGGCGAAGGCGGCUUACUGGACCAUAACUGACGUUGAGGCUCGAAAGCGUGGGGAGCGAACAGGAUUAGAUACCCUUGUAA